rnacentral:rRNA from 1 species
UACGUAGGGGGCAAGCGUUGUCCGGAAUCAUUGGGCGUAAAGCGCGCGUAGGCGGCCCGGUAAGUCCGCUCUGAAAGUCCAGGGCUCAACCCUGGAAAGCGGGUGGAUACUGCCGGGCUAGAAUCCGGAAGUGGCGAGUGGAAUUCCUGGUGUAGCGGUGGAAUGCGCAGAUAUCAGGAGGAACACCAAUAGCGAAGGCAGCUCGCUGGGACGGUAUUGACGCUAAGGCGCGAAAGCGUGGGGAGCGAACAGG